CGAAAGCCUGACGGAGCAACGCCGCGUGAGGGAUGGAGGCCUUUGGGCUGUAAACCUCUUUUCUCAAGGAAGAAGAUCUGACGGUACUUGAGGAAUAAGCCACGGCUAAUUCCGUGCCAGCAGCCGCGGUAAUACGGGAGUGGCAAGCGUUAUCCGGAAUUAUUGGGCGUAAAGCGUCCGCAGGCGGCCGUUUAAGUCUGUUGUUAAAUCGUGGAGCUCAACUCCAUCACGGCAAUGGAAACUGUUCGGCUUGAGUAUGGUAGGGGCAGAGGGAAUUUCCGGUGUAGCGGUGAAAUGCGUAGAUAUCGGGAAGAACACCAGUGGCGAAAGCGCUCUGCUGGGCCAUUACUGACGCUCAUGGACGAAAGCCAGGGGAGCGAAAGGGAUUAAAUACCCCUGUAGUCCUGGCCUUAAACGAUGAACACUAGAUGUUGGGGGAAUCGACCCCCUCGGUGUCGUAGCUAACGCGUUAAGUGUUCCGCCUGGGGAGUACGCACGCAAGUGUAAAACUCAAAGGAAUUGACGGGGGCCCGCACAAGCGGUGGAGUAUGUGGUUUAAUUCGAUGCAACGCGAAGAACCUUACCAAGGCUUGACAUCCUGCGAAUCUCUAAGAAGUUAGAGAGUGCCUUCGGGAACGCAGUGACAGGUGGUGCAUGGCUGUCGUCAGCUCGCGUCGUGAGAUGUUGGGUUAAGUCCCGCAACGAGCGCAACCCACGUUUUUAGUUGCCAGCAUUCAGUUGGGCACUCUAGAAAGACUGCCGGUGACAAACCGGAGGAAGGUGUGGACGACGUCAAGUCAUCAUGCCCCUUACGCCUUGGGCUACACACGUACUACAAUGCUGCGGACAAAGAGUAGCGAUCUUGCGAAAGUUAGCUAAUCUCAUAAACCGUGGCUCAGUUCAGAUCGUAGGCUGCAACUCGCCUACGUGAAGGAGGAAUCGCUAGUAAUCGCAGGUCAGCAUACUGCGGUGAAUACGUUCCCGGGCCUUGUACACACCGCCCGUCACACCAUGGAAGUUGGCCAUGCCCGAAGUCGUUACUCUAACCUUUUGGAAGAGGGCGCCGAAGGCAGGGCUAAUGACUGGGGUGAAGUCGUAACAAGGUAGCCGUAGCGGAAGCUGCGGCUGGAUCACCUCCUAA
rnacentral:rRNA from 1 species